rnacentral:rRNA from 1 species
UACGUAGGGGGCGAGCGUUGUUCGGAAUUACUGGGCGUAAAGCGCGUGUAGGCGGUUGUCCAAGUUGGAUGUGAAAGCCUUGAGCUUAACUCAAGAAAUGCAUUCAGGACUGGAUGACUAGAGGACCGGAGAGGAUAGUGGAAUUCCCAGUGUAGUGGUGAAAUACGUAGAGAUUGGGAAGAACACCAGUGGCGAAGGCGGCUAUCUGGACCAGCACUGACACUGAGGCACGAAAGCGUGGGGAGCAAACAGG